ACAAAUCCUGCUGCAGUGCCGCAAGGUGCUGUAGUAUAUUAACUCGGCCUGUGUCGCAAGAUGCAGGCUGAUAAAUUAAUGUGUGUAAUGUUGACAAUGUGUGUGUGAUUAAAUAGUAGA
rnacentral:misc_RNA from 1 species